GACGAACGCUGGCGGCGUGCUUAACACAUGCAAGUCGAACGGAAAGGCCCUGCUUUUGUGGGGUGCUCGAGUGGCGAACGGGUGAGUAACACGUGAGUAACCUGCCCUUGACUUUGGGAUAACUUCAGGAAACUGGGGCUAAUACCGGAUAGGAGCUCCUGCUGCAUGGUGGGGGUUGGAAAGUUUCGGCGGUUGGGGAUGGACUCGCGGCUUAUCAGCUUGUUGGUGGGGUAGUGGCUUACCAAGGCUUUGACGGGUAGCCGGCCUGAGAGGGUGACCGGCGACAUUGGGACUGAGAUACGGCCCAGACGCCUACGGGAGGCAGCAGUGGGGAAUAUUGCACAAUGGGCGGAAGCCUGAUGCAGAAACGCCGGGUGCGGGAUAACGGCCUUCGGGUUGUAAACCGCUUUCGCCUGUGACGAAGCGUGAGUGACGGUAAUGGGUAAAGAAGCACCGGCUAACUACGUG
rnacentral:rRNA from 1 species